UAUUAAAAUUUUAUCUAUUUAUACUAUUAAAAUUUAACAUUAUUGACAAAAUAAUUAAAUAGCGGCACGUGACAUGCCGUAUAUACCUCAUGCUAACAAUUGGGGACCAAUUUUUAAUAAUAGAAAUUAAUAAAAAUUUUAACA
rfam:Gossypium raimondii Chr03_contig_1069, whole genome shotgun sequence.